rnacentral:tRNA from 5 species
GCCAGAGUGGUGAAAUUGGUAGACACAGGGGAUUCAAAAUCCCCCGGGGUAAAACCCGUGCCGGUUCGAGUCCGGCCUCUGGUACCA